GAGUGCUUGGCCACACGUACACUAAAAUUGGAAUGAUCCCGAGAAGGUUAGCAUGGCCGCUGCGCAAGAAUGACACGCCAAUUCAUGAAGCAUCCCAUACUUUU